UGGCUUCACUUGUAUUACUUGUAUCUAAAGGUGUUUGCUGAAUUCAUCUUUUUCAGGUAUAAAGUUGGAGGAGGACAUUCUAUGAACAUUUUUUAAACUCAAUCUACGUAUAAAGCUGCCUGAAUGGGCAAUAUUAACAAACGCCCACGUCUCUGAGGGAGUUUUAGAUCUGUCUUGCUUAUAGCCCGAUCACAUAGUUCCACAAAGCUUCUUGAUUGUUUUGGAUGAAAGACUGGGUGCUGCUGAGAAAUAGAAGGAAUUAAAAGAUUAUGACCUGGAUGGCAUAGAUCAGGGAUGUCAAACUGCUGGAAGCUGCGUCCACUCCAUUGCCAGCAAUGAGUGCCAGAGAAGUGCAGGUAAGACCAACCAAGAUGAUUGGAAGACUGGAGGCUAAAACAUAUGAAGAAGGGUUGCAGGAAUUGGGCAUGUAUAGUUUAAUGAAAAGAAGCACUAGGAGUGACAUGAUAGUAGUGUUCCAAUGUCUAAGGGGUUGAUACAAAGAAGAGGUAGUUAACCUAUUCUCCAAAGCACGUGAAGUUAGAAGAAGAAGUAAUGGAUGGAAACUAAUCAAGGAGAGAACCAACCUAGAACUAAGGAUAAAUUUCCUGACAGUUAGAGCA